UACGAAGGGUGCAAGCGUUGUUCGGAUUUAUUGGGCGUAAAGCGCGCGCAGGCGGAUGAACAAGUCAGAUGUGAAAUCUCGGGGCUCAACCUCGAACGUGCGUCUGAAACUGUUUGUCUAGAAUACUGGAGGGGGCAGGGGAAUAUCACAUGUAGGGGUAAAAUCCGUAGAGAUGUGAUGGAACACCAGGGGCGAAGGCGCCUGCCUGGACAGUUAUUGACGCUGAGGCGCGAAAGCGUGGGGAUCAAACAGG
rnacentral:rRNA from 1 species